GCCAAAAAUAAAUAAAUAAAUUUAUUUUUAAAAAAUCUCUAACAUCAAUUCCUAGUGCAAAAAACAAACAAUGACACUUUUCUUUUUCUUAGUAAUAAUCUUUGUAGGAUGUUGUUCACAUAUAUGAUGACAAAGUAAACACCAUUCCUUAGUAUUUUUCCUCUACUGUGUUUGUUAUAUGAUGUUCACAUCACAGAGAUUUCCCUAGUUUGGUGUUUCUCUGUUGUAAGCUUAUUUGUUUUCUGAGUACAUUUAGUGAGAAGAGAGAAACAUGUUUGAAACUAUGAAUAAGCAUAAGAGCAUUUAUUCUUAUAUGAUCUAAUCAUUAAAAAUGCUUUUAAAAGGAAGUAAAUUAAAAACCUUCCACACCAUUAUAGAAACACUUUUGAAAAAUCAGUCUCAGGCCUAGCAUGCAAGAUGUUACUUUGGCACGUCUAAUUUUUUUGUGCAGAUUAUCAGGAAUUGGUAUUUUGGAAGUAUAUAUGUGGUCUUGUGUUCUCAUUCUACAUGGCAGGAGUUCAUACAAUGUAUAUUUCUACCGUUGCUACUUUUCACUAACAGAAGUUUUGUUUGCUUGUAACUUUCCCAGGGACUAUUCAUAGUAUGGCAGCACUGAAAUGAUGUAAUAUUUCAUUUGUUUUGAGACUUUAUGUUUGUUAGUAUUAGGCCAACAAGCAUGGGGAAGCAGCAUGGUUAUUGUUUCGCUUACUCAUGUGUGAGCUGAGCGAGGGGCGUUCCCACAUGGUAUGAACUCCUGCCGUAUGCAUUGGUGGGCGACGCCAAUACAAUCAUGUCAAAUGCAAGUGCCGUGAGACGCAUUACUCCUUGGGCACAUAUGGAUCCUGCUCAUUAUGCCAAAGUAACCUUCUGGAAGUCCUAAAACUUUACUCAGAAACCUUUUAUGACUCCCUAAUGCCAACAGAAUUACAGUCCAAGUCUCUUCUCUGGCAGUAGAGGCCCCUGUACCCUCAUUACACUUGCAUUUCCAGCCUCAUUUCCAAAGACAACUGAAAUAAACUGUCUUUUAGCUGCUAAUCUGUAUUAUUUGUGCUAUGUUUAUUAAAAAGAGGGGUCUAUACUCACUUGUCUCUCUUUUCUUUCUUCCUGUAUAAAUUAGAAUGUAAUAGAAAACCCAGCUGAAACAGAAGGUUUUUUUUUGUUGUUGUUGUUUGUUGUUGUUUUUGUUUUUAACGUGACAAGAAGUCCGUAGGUAAAGAGUUGCUAAUAUUUUCUCAGGGGUUCAGUGAUGUCACAGCUCUGAAAUUCACUUGACCUUUACCUCAUGGUUGUAGAAUGGCUGCUACACUUCAAGUAUCACAUCUUCACCAUGGGUGCAAAGGUGGGAAGGCAGGCAGAAAGUUUAUUCUUCAUCAGCCUUAGCCUUGUAGAGGAGGUAAAGUAUUUUCCAAAAACACCCCACCAAAGGAUUUCCUCUUACAUCUCAUCAGUCAGAAUUUUGAUAUAGUUUAGGAACUGGGCCCAUGUUUCCACAUCAAAGGGAAUCUUCUCGAUGCCUAAAGAAAACUGAAGUUCUGUAUAGCAAGGAGGAAAUGCGGGAGUGGUUUUUACUUAGUAAGCACUGCCACGUCUCCUAGUUUGCACCUCAGCAUGUGCAAACCCGUUUGUCCCUGUCACUCUCUAGAAACAUCUUUAACUGCUAUCAUCAGUGACUUUUGGACUUUUUAGUCUAAUGGACACUUUAUUUUCUAACUUGCUUGAGCUUCUUGUGGGGCUCACCCACACCCUCUUUGAAAUUUAUUCAUCAACUAUCCAUUCAUCACUUACUAUGUAUCAGGCACUCUGCUAGGUGAGGAGAAUACAGAACCAAAUCAGGCAUAGUCUUGGCCCUCCACAAGUUUAUAGUCAAGUGGAGAAGACAGGUGAACAGGUAAGUGCAAAAAUAUUAGAGGUGCUGUGAUAAAAUGAGAUAAAGUGGGGCACAGAGAAAAGAGCAGUCAUUUAUAUAACUCAGGUGCUAGGCCCCUUUUCGGGGAAGGAAGGGGUGGUACAGCCAUUAACAAAGACAGUCUUACGGUUUCUUUGUUGGUUGCCUCUUUGCCUUCUGCCCUAGAAAAAUACAGACCUCUAUAGAAAAGGGGGAGAAGAUGAGGACCACGGGGCUGGUCUCUCCCCUUUCCUUGGCCUGACAAAUACAUGUGAAAUUCUGAAGAAUAGUCAACCAAUUUUUUUUUUUAACUUCAGAUUAUCCAACUCAUACAGAAUCCACCCAGUGUAGGGGCUGUGGAGUGACUUCUUUGGUUUGUUUACCUCAUCUUGUGUUCUCUUAAGGGUAUCCGGUCUCACCCCUAAACCCUGGGUAGGCCAUGUCUCUACUCUCUUAGAGCCAGAGUCUGACCACUCAGGAUGGCAGAAAGGACAUGUCUGGAGAGAUGCAAGUUUGUCUGCUGGAUUGAAGAGUAGGACCAGGGAAGAAGACAAGGCGUGAUGAGAGAGAUGAAGCUGGAGAGGAAGUAGCUGCAAGGAGGAGGCUAUUCCCAGGGCUUUGGUCUGUACGCACUCCUCAUACCUGAAAUUUUAUUGGAACUGUGGAAAUGGGGCAGUGGUUUUACUUUUCACUCUGCCUUCAGUGGGACUCCCUGGAAGAAGUGCUGUGCCAGUGACUGGUAUUUCUCCUGAAUAAAGCAUCUUGGCCUUAAUGACCGCA